UCCUUUUGACCGAUGCCUAAUCGCAUCUUUCCCUUCGGGGACAGAAGUGACAGGUGGUGCAUGGUUGUCGUCAGCUCGUGUCGUGAGAUGUUGGGUUAAGUCCCGCAACGAGCGCAACCCUUGCCUUUAGUUGCCAGCAUUAAGUUGGGCACUCUAGAGGGACUGCCAGGGAUAACCUGGAGGAAGGUGGGGAUGACGUCAAAUCAUCAUGCCCCUUAUGCUUAGGGCUACACACGUGCUACAAUGGGUGGUACAGAGGGCAGCCAAGUCGUGAGGCGGAGCUGAUCCCUUAAAGCCAUUCUCAGUUCGGAUUGUAGGCUGAAACUCGCCUACAUGAAGCUGGAGUUACUAGUAAUCGCAGAUCAGAAUGCUGCGGUGAAUGCGUUCCCGGGUCUUGUACGCACCG
rnacentral:rRNA from 1 species